rnacentral:rRNA from 1 species
UGCAAGUCGAACGAGAAAGUGGAGCAAUCCAGUGAGUACAGUGGCGACCGGGUGAGUAACACGUGACUAACCUACCUUCGAGUGGGGGAUAACCUCGGGAAACCGAGGCUAAUACCGCAUAACAUCGAGAGAUCAAAGGAGCAAUUCGCUUGAAGAGGGGGUCGCGGCUGAUUAGCUAGUUGGCGGGGUAAUGGCCCACCAAGGCGAAGAUCGGUAGCCGGCCUGAGAGGGCGCACGGCCACACUGGAACUGAAACACGGUCCAGACUCCUACGGGAGGCAGCAGUGGGGAAUUUUGCGCAAUGGGGGAAACCCUGACGCAGCAACGCCGCGUGGAGGAUGAAGCCCCUUGGGGCGUAAACUCCUUUCGACCAAGACGAUUAUGACGGUACUGGUGGAAGAAGCACCGGCUAACUCUGUGCCAGCAGCCGCGGUAAUACAGAGGGUGCGAGCGUUGUUCGGAAUUAUUGGGCGUAAAGGGCGCGUAGGCGGCGCAGCAAGUCACCUGUGAAAUCUCCAAGCUUAACUUGGAGCCUGCAGGCGAAACUGCUGUGCUGGAGUAUGGGGAGAGGUGCGUGGAAUUCCGUGUAGCGGGAAAUGCGUAAUAUCGGGAGGAACACCUGUGGCGAAAGCGGCGCACUGGACCAUAACUGACGCUGAGGCGCGAAAGCUAGGGGACAAACAGGAUUAGAUACCCUGGUAGUCCUAGCCCUAAACGAUGAUUGCUUGGUGUACCGGUACCCAAUCCGGCUGUGCCGCAGCUAACGCAUAGCAUCCCCUGGGGAGUACGGUCGCAA